rnacentral:misc_RNA from 1 species
UUGGGCUCUUUGCUUGUGCAACAACUUCCACCUGACAUACCUUGCAUACAUAUGUUAAGGGUCCAUGCCUUGACCAAACUGUGGGUUUCUUGUGUUUUGCGUGCCUCAAACAUAAGGCAUUUUUUUUGGGUAGAAUCAUUUCUUUUCGUCUUGUGAUGCCUUAUGGCAUCUUCGAUGAAACCUUAAUCUUGUGUCUUUGAACCAUAUCGUUUGCUUAUGUGUUGAUGUAGUGGUUCACAGAGCACUUGUUGGUCUCCUUAAUAUAGAACCUGAUGUGGGCAUGGGUCUCAUGGGAUCCUUGUUAUGUCCCAGUUUAAGUGUGUUCUACAGUCCCUAAAUGACGGCUUAACACGCAUUGGUGUUUGCACCAGCGUGUUGGGUUGUGUCUAACAAGAAAGUUACCUGGUUGAUCCUGCCAGUAGUCAUAUGCUUGUCUCAAAGAUUAAG